rnacentral:rRNA from 1 species
CUUUCUUUGCUGGCGACCGGCGCACGGGUGAGUAACACGUAUCCAACCUGCCCUUUACUCGGGGAUAGCCUUUCGAAAGAAAGAUUAAUACCCGAUAGCAUAAUGAUUCCGCAUGGUUUUCAUUAUUAAAGGAUUCCGGUAAAGGAUGGGGAUGCGUUCCAUUAGGUUGUUGGUGAGGUAACGGCCCACCAAGCCUUCGAUGGAUAGGGGUUCUGAGAGGAAGGUCCCCCACAUUGGAACUGAGACACGGUCCAA